AAUGAGCCUGUUCUCUCAAACUCUUUCAUUUCCAAGGGAGAAAACAAAUGCGUGCAAUUGGAUUUGUUCUACAUGAUGGGAAGACCCGAUGCCAGUUUGUAAGGACAGCGCCGAUACCCUGCCGUGCUGCAGCAACCCAGGUGACGUUCACCUUUCUGAACAUGGAAGUUCAAAGUCCUCUCGCAGCACUGAGGACGUGGGAUCCAGGCCAAUUUAAAUCACAUUUUGGACA